GUUUGACGUUAGCGACAGAAGAAAGCACCGGCUAACUCCGUGCCAGCAGCCGCGGUAAUACGGAGGGUGCGAGCGUUAAUCGGAAUUACUGGGCGUAAAGCGCAUGCAGGUGGUUUGUUAAGUCAGAUGUGAAAGACCCGGGGCGUCAACCUCGGAAUUGCAUUUGUAAACUAGGCAGACUAGAGUACUGUAGAGGGGGGUAGGAAUUUCAGGUGUAGCGGUGAAAUAGCGUAGAGAUCUGAAGGAAUACCGGUGGCGAAGGCGGCCCCCUCGGACAGAUACUGACACUCAGAUGCGAAAGCGUGGGGAGCAAACAGGAUUAGAUACCCUGGUAG
rnacentral:rRNA from 1 species